UACGUAGGGGGCAAGCGUUGUCCGGAAUCAUUGGGCGUAAAGCGCGUGUAGGCGGCUCGAUAAGUCUGCUGUGAAAGUCCAGGGCUCAACCCUGGGAUGCCGGUGGAUACUGUCGAGCUCGAGUCCGGAAGAGGCGAGUGGAAUUCCUGGUGUAGCGGUGAAAUGCGCAGAUAUCAGGAGGAACACCGAUUGCGAAGGCAGCUCGCUGGGACGUCACUGACGCUGAGACGCGAAAGCGUGGGGAGCAAACAGG
rnacentral:rRNA from 1 species